CUGGAGCACUGCAUCUGGGACUGCUGGGUUCCUUCAAACUCAGUUCCAGGGAGACCAGGGCUGAGAAGAACUGGCUUGCUGAUGGUCCCUCCUGCACCUACAUGGAAGGCCUGGGAGGUCAACUACUGCCCAGGGAUGCAGCCUAGGGAGAAUUUCUGAGCUGUAUGGCCUAGUGUGGACCUUGGCAUAUCCUGGAGACUGUUACAAUCUGCCUUCAAACCCUCUUACUUCACAGGGUCCCCAGAUAUUUGGUUAAACAUCAUCCUGGGUGUGUCUGUGAAGGUGUUUCUGGAGCAGAUUAACAGUUGGACUCGUAGACUGCUUAAAACAGACUCCCCUCCUCUAUGUGGGUGGGUCUCAUCCAGUCUGUUGGAGGUAUGAAUAGAACAAAAGUGCAGAUAAGAGAGAAUUCUCUCUCUCUACUUGACUGAGGUGGCACAUGUGUCUUCUCUUACCUUCAGACUCAGACUUGGACCGUAUCUCACACCAUCUGCCCUCCUGGUUCUCAGGCCUCCUGCUUGCUGACUAAAUAUUUUGGGACAUUUCAGCCUCCAUAACCACGUGAGCUG